UUACCCAUAGGUACCUAUGGUUUGAUAUUUUGUGUAUAAAAUAUCAAACCAUAGGUACCUAUUGGUAA
rnacentral:sRNA from 1 species